rnacentral:rRNA from 1 species
UGGGGAAUUUUGGACAAUGGGGGAAACCCUGAUCCAGCCAUCCCGCGUGUGCGAUGAAGGCCUUCGGGUUGUAAAGCACUUUUGGCAGGAAAGAAACGUCAUGGGUUAAUACCCCGUGAAACUGACGGUACCUGCAGAAUAAGCACCGGCUAACUACGUGCCAGCAGCCGCGGUAAUACGUAGGGUGCAAGCGUUAAUCGGAUUUACUGGGCGUAAAGCGUGCGCAGGCGGUUCGGAAAGAAAGAUGUGAAAUCCCAGAGCUCAACUUUGGAACUGCAUUUUUAACUACCGGGCUAGAGUGUGUCAGAGGGAGGUGGAAUUCCGCGUGUAGCAGUGAAAUGCGUAGAUAUGCGGAGGAACACCGAUGGCGAAGGCAGCCUCCUGGGAUAACACUGACGCUCAUGCACGAAAGCGUGGGGAGCAAACAGG